GGGGAUGAUGAGGAGCUCCAUUCAGUCCAAUAUGGGGGGCAAAGGAGUGGUUAGAGCUGCCAUCUCAUGCAUUAGGCUAACCUUUAUGUUUGUAUCAAGUUUUCUGCAAGGCGCGGCAAAGAGGAAUUCAGUUAUAAAUGAAUAUAAGUUUAGCCAGUGCAUGGUGUGGGAGCAACUCCUUUCACUAUCUUUGCUCGCUCAUUGGACUGAAGGGAGCUCCCACUAGAUCACUA